rnacentral:rRNA from 1 species
GGGCACUCUGGAUGGACUGCCGGCGACAAGCCGGAGGAAGGUGGGAUGACGUCAAGUCAUCAUGGCCCUUAUGUCCAGGGCGACACACGUGCUACAAUGGCCGGCACAGCGGGAAGCGAGGGGCGACCUUGAGCGGAUCCCUCAAAGCCGGUCUCAGUUCGGAUUGCAGUCUGCAACUCGACUGCAUGAAGUUGGAAUCGCUAGUAAUCGUGGAUCAGCCAAGCCGCGGUGAAUACGUUCCCGGGCCUU